GACGAACGCUGGCGGCGUGCUUAACACAUGCAAGUCGAACGGAAAGGCCCUGCUUUUGUGGGGUGCUCGAGUGGCGAACGGGUGAGUAACACGUGAGUAACCUGCCCUUGACUUUGGGAUAACUUCAGGAAACUGGGGCUAAUACCGGAUAGGAGCUCCUGCUGCAUGGUGGGGGUUGGAAAGUUUCGGCGGUUGGGGAUGGACUCGCGGCUUAUCAGCUUGUUGGUGGGGUAGUGGCUUACCAAGGCUUUGACGGGUAGCCGGCCUGAGAGGGUGACCGGCCACAUUGGGAUUGAGAUACGGCCCAGACUCCUACGGGAGGCAGCAGUGGGGAAUAUUGCACAAUGGGCGGAAGCAUGAUGCAGCAACGCCGCGUGCGGGAUGACGGCCUUCGGGUUGUAAACCGCUUUCGCCUGUGACGAAGCGUGAGUGACGGUAAUGGGUAAAGAAGCACCGGCUAACUACGUG
rnacentral:rRNA from 1 species